rnacentral:rRNA from 1 species
AGCAGCCGCGGUAAUUCCAGCUCCAAUAGCGUAUAUUAAAGUUGUUGCAGUUAAAAAGCUCGUAGUUGAAUUUUAGGCCUGACCGGACGGUCCGUCUCUGGCGAGUACUGUUCUGCUGUCGGGUCUAUCCUUCUGGUGAGCCGGUAUGUCCUUUAUUGGGUGUGUCGGGGAACCAGGACCAUUACCUUGAAAAAAUUAGAGUGUUUAAAGCGGGCUUUUGCUUGAAUAGAUUAGCAUGGAAUAAUAGAAUAGGACGUUGGUUCUAUUUUGUUGGUCUAGGACCACCGUAAUGAUUAAUAGGGAUAGUUGGGGGCAUUAGUAUUCAAUUGUCAGAGGUGAAAUUCUUGGAUUUAUUGAAGACUAACUACUGCGAAAGCAUUUGCCAAGGAUGUUUUCAUUAAUCAAGAACGAAAGUUAGGGGAUCGAAGGCGAUCAGAUACCGUCGUAGUCUUAACCAUAAACUAUGCCGACUAGGAAUCGGGCGACGUUAUUUCAUGACUCGCUCGGCGCCUUAUGGGAA